CCUACGGGCGGCAGCAGUGGGGAAUUUUGCUCAAUGCUCGUAAGAGUGACGCAGCGACGCCGCGUGAAUGACGAAGGCCUUCGGGUCGUAAAGUUCUUUCUACAGGGAAGAAAAUGCCUAUAAGUAACUGUGUAUGUAUUGACUUUACCUGUAUAAGCAGCCCCGGCUAAUUCCGUGCCAGCAGCCGCGGUAAUACGGAGGGGGCGUACGUUGUUCGGAGUGACUGGGCGGAAAGAGGACGUAGGUGGUGUUGUAAGUCAUUAGUCAAAGACUAGAGCUCAACUUUAGUAAGGCUAGUGAUACUAUAAUACUAGAGUAUCAGAGAGGUAUGCAGAAUUCCUGGUGUAGCGGUGAAAUGCGGAGAUAUCAGGAGGAAUACCGUUAGCGAAGGCGGCAAUCUGGCUGGAAACUGACGCUGAGGUGCGAAAGCGUGGGUAGCAAACAGGAUUAGAUACCCCAGUAGUC
rnacentral:rRNA from 1 species